rnacentral:lncRNA from 1 species
CGGGACAGUUGAGACCAAGGGGAUGGCGGGAGCGGGGGGAGGAGCCAGAGGGUUGGCGGGGGACCACGCGGGAAGGGGGCGGGGCGGCAGAAGAGAGCAGUUGCGCUUUACGACAGUUUUGAGACAGUCGCGCUUUACGGUAGUUUUACGUCAGCCGCGCUUUAUGGCAGUUUUACGACACUUUUAGGACCGUCGCGCUUUAUGGCAUUUUUUACCACAGUCGCACUUUACGGUAGUGUUUUUAAAAGAAAAACAUGACAAUGUCUCUGUUACCAUGCUCACUUAAGCUGUCUAUUGGUGAUUUGUAACAUUUUUUAAAAUAAAACUCAAACGCUUUUUACUUUUUUUACUUUUGUAAGUAAAUAUGCUAUGAAGAGGGCUUCAAAGGAAAUAUGAUUACUUAGCAUCCAACUGUUGCUAAAUUCAUUGGUUGAUCAUCAAUAUCAUGGAUUUUUUAAUGUUUCUGAUACAGACCAUUCACAAGCUGUCCGAUAAUUAUUUAUCAGCCAUCUGCAUCAGCAUCAUCUGCACGACCAGUGAUGGCCAAAAAACAGGAAGGAGGAAAAGCGGUUAAGCUGUAGGCAGGAAAGGGAAGGCAGAAACCAAGCAGCAAACAAUUGGCACCUGGGGUCCUCUGAAGACUAAAAGUGGGAAAAAAAUGGCUUAAUUGAAAAAUCUCCCUAUUGUGUGUGCAGUCUCCAAGGGGAAACAAACAAACCCAUUCAAAGGAAGGGGAAAAAUAGGCAAAAAUUCCCUCGGCAUUUUCUCCAAGCGAGGCUCCGUGCCUGGGCGCACCCGCCUGCUCCGUGCCCCUGCUGGAUGCUCCGACCGCCGUUCCCCGAGGGACAUUCGGGAUAUUUCCGUUUCCUUCUCUGCGCUGAGAGUUCCCUGUGCGAGUGUGCCCAGGAUGGAGGUGUUCUGAAUAGGAAGCCUCUUAGUUUAGAAGUUAUUCAAGAAGGUCUUGGAACAUGGCAGCCAGAAAUGCCUGAAGAGUUCACAGAAACUGCAGGCACCUGUUAAAAGCACAAGUAUAUGGAUCUUUUUGUUUUAGAAUAAAAAUGGCUGGUUAACAAACA